rnacentral:tRNA from 1 species
GCCGCUGUCGCAUAACCUGGUAUUGCGCAGGAUUGCUAAUCCUGUUUCCGAAAGGAUAUCCCGGUUCAAAUCCGGGCGGCGGCG